AGAGUUUGAUCCUGGCUCAGGACGAACGCUGGCGGUGUGCUUAACACAUGCAAGUCGAACGGUAAGGCCCUUUUUUGGGGUACACGAGUGGCGAACGGGUGAGUAACACGUGAGUAACCUGCCCUCAUCUCUGGGAUAACAGUCGGAAACGGUUGCUAAUACUGGAUAUGAGCUUGCAAGGCAUCUUGUGGGUUGGAAAGAUAUUUUUUUGGUUGGGGAUGGACUCGCGGCCUAUCAGCUUGUUGGUGAGGUAGUGGCUCACCAAGGCUUCGACGGGUAGCCGGCCUGAGAGGGCGACCGGCCACAUUGGGACUGAGAUACGGCCCAAACUCCUACGGGAGGCAGCAGUGGGGAAUAUUGCACAAUGGACGGAAGUCUGAUGCAGCAACGCCGCGUGCGGGAUGACGGCCUUCGGGUUGUAAACCGCUUUCAAUUGUGACGAAGCUUUUUGUGACGGUAGCAGUAGAAGAAGCACCGGCUAACUACGUGCCAGCAGCCGCGGUGAUACGUAGGGUGCGAGCGUUGUCCGGAUUUAUUGGGCGUAAAGAGCUUGUAGGCGGUUUGUCGCGUCGGGAGUGAAAACUUGGGGCUUAACCCUGAGCUUGCUUUCGAUACGGGCUGACUUGAGGGAGGUAGGGGAGAAUGGAAUUCCUGGUGGAGCGGUGGAAUGCGCAGAUAUCAGGAGGAACACCGGUGGCGAAGGCGGUUCUCUGGACCUUUCCUGACGCUGAGAAGCGAAAGCGUGGGGAGCGAACAGGCUUAGAUACCCUGGUAGUCCACGCCGUAAACGGUGGGUACUAGGUGUGGGGGACAUUCCACGUUCUCCGUGCCGUAGCUAACGCAUUAAGUACCCCGCCUGGGGAGUACGGCCGCAAGGCUAAAACUCAAAGGAAUUGACGGGGCCCCGCACAAGCGGCGGAGCAUGCGGAUUAAUUCGAUGCAACGCGAAGAACCUUACCUGGGUUUGACAUAUGCCGGGAGCGUUCAGAGAUGGGCGUGCCUUUUUGGUCGGUUUACAGGUGGUGCAUGGCUGUCGUCAGCUCGUGUCGUGAGAUGUUGGGUUAAGUCCCGCAACGAGCGCAACC
rnacentral:rRNA from 1 species